rnacentral:rRNA from 1 species
UACGGAGGAUGCAAGCGUUAUCCGGAUUCAUUGGGUUUAAAGGGUGCGCAGGCGGAAUGAUAAGUCAGUGGUGAAAUCUCCCGGCUCAACCGGGAAACUGCCAUUGAUACUGUUGUUCUUGAGUACACUUGGAGUGGGCGGAAUGUGUCAUGUAGCGGUGAAAUGCUUAGAUAUGACACAGAACACCGAUCGCGAAGGCAGCUCACUAAAUUGUAACUGACGCUCAUGCACGAAAGCGUGGGGAUCAAACAGGAUUAGAUACCCUGGUAGUCCACGCUGUAAACGAUGAUCACUCGUUGUUGGCGAUAUACUGUCAGCGACUAAGCGAAAGCAUUAAGUGAUCCACCUGGGGAGUACGAUCGCAAGAUUGAA